CUCUCCCAACACGUCUUUGCUGUCGGCCCUUUUGUGUAAACUUUAUAUAUUUCCAUGCGCAUAUUAACAGUGUGAAUUAUACAUGAGACCAAUCAGCACACACAUACACACACUUCAUCUCAGCGGUAGGUGUGUGUGUGUGUGACUGUGUGCGUGACUGUGUGUUAAUUGUGACCCAUGGGCUCUGUGUGAAGUCUGAGUAUAAUUAUCUGUGUAAUUGUCGUGUAUUUUGUAAAGUGCUAGAUCAUUUAAUUCAGGAUUAUCUUUUCUCACCUCCAACGGCCGAGGGCAUUGCUUUGCCUUCACUUUCCCCGCCCCCGCCGCCACAUGCACACACACACACACAGACGCACACACUGCACACACACUUCCAGUCUGUCCCUUGUGACACCCGAGGGUGCUGCUUCUGCAAUAUUCAUCGAGAAGUAAAACGGUUUCGCUUCUAUCUUAACUGAUGUCUGCUUUCCCUUUCACACACACACACACACACACACACACACACACACACACACACACACACACCCUCACUUUCUCUCCUGCUCUGUUGUUCUUUUUGUUCUCUCUCUCCGACACGUCUUGAGUUAAGAAGGGUAUCAAGUCGCUCGCCCAUCUGUGAUGCCGACGGCACGGAGUUGGCUGAGACACGAGCGCACACCGGCGCUUGAAAUACACACACAAGUUACAUAAAGACACGGCGCGACGCACACACGUCCACAGAUGUGAGGAUGUUCUGCUCAUCACAUCCUCAUGUGAGCAUUUGUAUCCAGAAAGGGACGUUCUGGAUGCUCAAAGAAAGACCUCAAGUCCUCUUUUUAUGUUCAAGGUACUUGAAGAGUUUCACGUAGCUGCUCUUCAGACUUCAGGUUUUCACGUCAUUUGAAUGCUACACUUUUAGUUACAGUGAAGUAUUUUCGCAGCGUGGCAUUAGUACUUGUACUGCAGUAAAGGAUGUAAAUACGUAUCUACCAGUGGAUAAUAAACACACAUUCAUGGAUGAGCAAAAUAUGGAUGGAAAUAAGUCAUGACACAAUAAUGCACCUUAUUCAGGCAGAGCAUCGUAAAAUGCAAAACCUUAUUGUGAUAAAUGGAAGAAUAAAUACUUAUUUUAUCGGCCUCUGCUGCCGACUUAUAUAUAAUCAGUCUCUUUUAGUUCAUCGUAUCUGAAAAUCAGAUACAAUCUUAUCUCAUCAUCGGAUUUUGAAAACCUUUCAAAUAAAAAGACAGAUGAAGUCGAUGAAACUCGACAGUCUUCGGUCGUUAGAAGGAAGAACCGCGACAGGCGAGCGCUCGUUUCCCUUCCCUGAGAUUUAGUGUCAGUCAGACGGCCAAUUAAGAUCCGCACUGAUGGACGAGCACGGAAUGAAGAGUCACACCCUGCUCUCCAACUGGCCACGCAAGCUUCCCACAUUCCAACCUGCACCGCUGUCUUUUCAGGUAAGACGAUGAGGUAACUUUUAGGGUGGCGCGUGUGUGGAGACA
ensembl:lncRNA